CGGACGGGUGAGUAAUGUCUGGGAAACUGCCUGAUGGAGGGGGAUAACUACUGGAAACGGUAGCUAAUACCGCAUAACGUCGCAAGACCAAAGAGGGGGACCUUCGGGCCUCUUGCCAUCGGAUGUGCCCAGAUGGGAUUAGCUAGUAGGUGGGGUAACGGCUCACCUAGGCGACAAUCCCUAGCUGGUCUGAGAGGAUGACCAGCCACACUGGAACUGAGACACGGUCCAGACUCCUACGGGAGGCAGCAUG
rnacentral:rRNA from 1 species